rnacentral:lncRNA from 1 species
AUGAAAUCACAGGCAUCACAGUGCAUGUUCUUCAGUAUGUAUACUGGACUUGUGGACAACAUGAUGUCUAUUAAAAAUGAAGGGCAAAUAACAAUGUCAACCUCGAAGCACAAAGUAGAUAAGCCUUUUCGACAUGGCUAUGAUAGGACAGUGUGCACUAGACUGAUGAAAUGUGACAUUGCCACUCAGUCAAGGAGGGACUGGGUAAUCAAGAGACUGGUACUGUGUGAAUGAGCUAAUCAGCUUCCUGCUCUCCAGAGAACACGUUGUUCAGUGAUCACCCACAGCCAGAGAAACCAACCAAGUCUGAUGCAUCAAACUGCUUCAAAUUAAAGACUCAAGUAGAUUGUUCCAUCAUCUGUUCAAAUAUAUGGCUUGCUGAAACAUACUCUUCCAACCAAACCUAGCUGUCAGUCAAGUGGUAAAGUAAUAUAGUAGGACUUUUUGACCACACUAACCACUGAAGCUCAGAUGCCUUCCUCCAUGGCACCCUGUAUGCUCACUGGGGCCUGGGAUUCUCCCAAGACAUAACUGCUGCAUAACAGCUGCCACUACCAUUAGCUGCAUUCGUUAUUACAUUUGCUGUAGCUGCUUGGUUUAUAGGUCCCUUUUUCCCCAAGCUAAGUGCUUCAUACUGCCCUCCUAUCCAGAAUGGGGAGAAGUACCUUUUUUCUUUCUUUUUUUUUUUUUCUUUCUUUUUUUUUUUCUUUUUCAUUUGUGUGAGUUUCUGGGAUGGAAUGACAAUCUUCUACAAAUGCAGAAGAGACACCUUCUACCCUCACUCCCAUUUGGGACAGAUGUUUGCUGUAGUGAAUAUACAUGACACCUUUAUGAAACAUUUAUGUCAAGGAUUCCAUAUCAUGCUAAGCUUCUUGUACUAUUUAACCCAUCUGUCAUUAAAAGUAUCUUUGAAACAUAGUUUGAUAGAAGUCUAAAAAAUACAAUGCCUGGAUUUUUAGAAAUCAAAAUUUACCAUGUAAUAGUCCACAGUAUCAAGUGCACUUUUGUAAUCUGAAAAUUAAAUACAUUUCUUUUUCAGCCUUUUCAAUAGAAUAUUAUUUUGACAUGUUUUUCUACCACCUUACCUUGUUGGAAAUAAGCAGAAGUCAUGUACUUAUGUACAUAAUAAACAGAAUAAAAAUAAACA